UACGGGGGGGGGCAAGCGUUGUUCGGAAUUACUGGGCGUAAAGGGCUCGUAGGCGGCCAACUAAGUCAUACGUGAAAUCCCUCGGCUUAACCGGGGAACUGCGUCUGAUACUGGAUGGCUUGAGUUCGGGAGAGGGAUGCGGAAUUCCAGGUGUAGCGGUGAAAUGCGUAGAUAUCGGGAGGAACACCUGCGGCGAAAGCGGCUCACUGGACCACAACUGACGCUGAGGCGCGAAAGCUAGGGGAGCAAACAGG
rnacentral:rRNA from 1 species